GAUAGAAUCCUCUCCUGUUUCUCUUCACCAUCACCUGAACCUUUUCCACCAGAGGUCAACUGAGUUUCUACUAUGCCUGGAUUUGUUGUGAGUGCCUAGCUGCAGCAUCCAGCCAGCCAAAGGUAUCUCUGAGGUGAAACACCACUGCUGCCACCUUUGGCCCAGCAGCAAGGGUCAGACGAGGCCAGGCACAUCCCACCUGGAAAUAUUGGGAAUAAUAUUCCAUAGGGCAGGUGAAGGAGCUCCUCCCCAUCACAAAGACAGAAGCUUGCAGUGUUCAGCAGGGCUAGGAGUGGGCAUUUUCAAGGCUGCAGUCUGGAAUCUGUGUCAAAGGGAACUAAAUAAUGAUUAAUUCCUCAUGCAGCUUCUCGGUAAGCUGUAGUUCAGAUAAUAAAGAGCUCAACUCCAAUCCCGCUUUCAUCCUGCCAGGAUAUUCCCACCAGGAGUCACGCUCUAAUGGGUGCCUGAAUGGAUAUUUGUGUCAUUCCUUAGGCUUUCCCUACAUGCAGCGCUGCCGCCUCACUAACAGCUCCCCGGUGCCCCUGACGUUCCAGCUCCGCAUGUCGGACGAUGGCACGCAGCCGGCUGUGGACAGCGUGGAUCAGAUCCGCAGGGACACUGACCCGGCCUGGAGGAAGGGAAUCCAUUUCUAUGUGGAGCCCAGGGAGUUCACCAUGAAUCCCAGCCAAGGCACCAUCCUGCCCCAGGGACACCAGGAUAUCGAGGUGACCCUGUGCUCCAACACGGUGAUGGAGUUCUACCAGAGAAUGCUGGUGGACCUGGAGGGUAUUGGCAAGGGAGUGGCAACCCUGAUCAUCACAGCCAGAAACGCAAGGAGGACUCUGCUAUGCUCUACUCCAGCCCCAAGCCCUGUGGGAUUGUGCAGCCCCAGAGCACAGCAGAGAUCCCAGUUGUGGGGGCAGUGCAGGCCCUGGGCACUCAUCGCACCAACGUUGUCAUCGGCGUGUUUGGGGAUGAGAGAAACCCACUGAUAUGAGCUCUACCCACCUAAAUUCAAACCCCAACCACCAAGGGGGACAAGAACCAGUUUGGAUUGCCAAGCAUCUCAAUGGAGGCAGUUCAAGAUCAGAAAUGUGGAGGAGCCAGUCACAGCCCUGAAAGAAGUGCAGGAUUUUAGCCAAUCUUCAGGAGCAGAGGCUUUCAGUAUCCUGCCACUGUCAGGUGUGCUGCAGCCAGGAGAGAGCCAGCAGGUCUCCUCCACCUUCUCUGGCCACAUCAACAGCAACUCCAAUGUCCUGGAGCUGUGCCACGUGGAGGGAGGCCCCACCUCCGAGGUGCUGGUGCCUGGGGAGGCCUCACUUCUCAGCUCCUCCCUGAGCCCCCGGGAGAUCAACUGUGGCUCUCAGGCCCCUCUCAGGGAGAGAAGGGAGCUGAAGCAGCUGGCUCAAAAGCUUGAGGAGGAGGCAAAAGCCUUAGAGGAGGAAGAGAGGCGGAAGGAGGAAAAGAACGGUGUCUCUGUGGGGAAGCAACCUCCAAAACUCCCAGAGAAGGGGAAAACCCCCAGAGAAGAAGGAAACCAAAAUCCCAAGAAAGGAAACCAAGGCCCCAGAGAAGAAGGAAACCAAAGCAUCAGAGAAGAAGGAAAACAAACUCCCAGAGAAGAAGCAAAACAAACUCCCAGAAAAGAAAAACAAACCUCCAGAAAAGAAGGAAACCAGAUUCCCAGAGAGGAAGGAAACCAAAAUCCUAGAGAAGGAAACCAGAGCGCCAGAAAAGAAGGAAACCAAAGCCCUAAAGAAGAAGGAAACCAAAGCUCCAGAGAAGAGGGAAACUAAAGCCUUAAAGAAGAGGGAAGCCAAAGCCCUAAAGAAGGGGGAAGCCAAGGCCUCAAAGAAGGGGGGAACUGAAAUCCCAGAGGACCCAGCUGAGUUGGAGAAGAACUCUUUACUCUUUAUUCACACAACUCAUUUUACACAGUUUGACAGACCUCGUGAGCAACUUUAGUUAGUUCAGAGAUUUCUUGCCAUUUAUUCUAUUAUUGGUUAAUAAAAUAGAUUUUACUUGUGCAUCAAA